rnacentral:rRNA from 1 species
CCUACGGGUGGCAGCAGUGGGGAAUAUUGGACAAUGGGCGCAAGCCUGAUCCAGCCAUGCCGCGUGAGUGACGAAGGUCUUCGGAUUGUAAAGCUCUUUUGGCGGGGACGCGGUACCCGCAGAAUAAGCCCCGGCUAACUUCGUGCCAGCAGCCGCGGUAAUACGAAGGGGGCUAGCGUUGUUCGGAAUUACUGGGCGUAAAGCGCACGUAGGCGGAUUUGUUAGUCAGGGGUGAAAUCCCGGGGCUCAACCUCGGAACUGCCUUUGAUACUGCAAGUCUCGAGUCCGGAAGAGGUGAGUGGAAUUCCUAGUGUAGAGGUGAAAUUCGUAGAUAUUAGGAAGAACACCAGUGGCGAAGGCGGCUCACUGGUCCGGACUGACGCUGAGGUGCGAAGCGUGGGGAGCAACAGGAUUAGAUACCCUUGUAGUC